UGGGGAAUAUUGGACAAUGGGCGAAAGCCUGAUCCAGCCAUGCCGCGUGUGUGAAGAAGGUCUUCGGAUUGUAAAGCACUUUAAGUUGGGAGGAAGGGCAGUAAAUUAAUACUUUGCUGUUUUGACGUUACCGACAGAAUAAGCACCGGCUAACUCUGUGCCAGCAGCCGCGGUAAUACAGAGGGUGCAAGCGUUAAUCGGAAUUACUGGGCGUAAAGCGCGCGUAGGUGGUUCGUUAAGUUGGAUGUGAAAUCCCCGGGCUCAACCUGGGAACUGCAUUCAAAACUGACGAGCUAGAGUAUGGUAGAGGGUGGUGGAAUUUCCUGUGUAGCGGUGAAAUGCGUAGAUAUAGGAAGGAACACCAGUGGCGAAGGCGACCACCUGGACUGAUACUGACACUGAGGUGCGAAAGCGUGGGGAGCAAAACAGGAUUAGAUACCCUGGUAGUCCACGCCGUAAACGAUGUCAACUAGCCGUUGGGAGCCUUGAGCUCUUAGUGGCGCAGCUAACGCAUUAAGUUGACCGCCUGGGGAGUACGGCCGCAAGGUUAAAAC
rnacentral:rRNA from 1 species